rnacentral:rRNA from 1 species
AGUGAACGCUGGCGGUAGGCCUAACACAUGCAAGUCGAACGGCAGCACAGUAAGAGCUUGCUCUUACGGGUGGCGAGUGGCGGACGGGUGAGGUAUACAUCGGAAUCUACUUUUUCGUGGGGGAUAACGUAGGGAAACUUACGCUAAUACCGCAUACGACCUACGGGUGAAAGCAGGGGAACUUCGGACUUUGCGCGAUUGAAUGAGCCGAUGUCGGAUUAGCUAGUUGGCGGGGUAAAGGCCCACCAAGGCGACGAUCCGUAGCUGGUCUGAGAGGAUGAACAGCCACACUGGAACUGAGACACGGUCCAGACUCCUACGGGAGGCAGCAGUGGGGAAUAUUGGACAAUGGGCGGAAGCCUGAUCCAGCCAUGCCGCGUGGGUGAAGAAGGCCUUCGGGUUGUAAAGCCCUUUUGUUGGGAAAGAAAAGCAGCAGGUUAAUACGCCGCUGUUCUGACGGUACCCAAAGAAUAAGCACCGGCUAACUUCGUG